ensembl:lncRNA
UAGGGCUACAAAGGUGAGAAGGAUACUGUCUGUUUCCUCAUGUAACCACACUCUAAUAUGGGAGUCAACAUUCGACAAUGAAUAAAUUCAAUGAGAAAAAUGCUACACUAUUGAUUCAUAUCAGAAACAGUAAGGAGGUUAAGGCAGCAUUAUCAGCUUUAUCGGGUGAUAAAAUAAUUCUUCACAGAGAAGAAUAUACUUGAGCUGGAACCUGAAGAAUGAGAAAGGCUUUAAAUUUUUGAUACUGGAUCAAGGAUGGCAGCGCGUUAUAAAACAGCUGAACAAGGAAGCAAGACAUGAGAGCAGACUAGUAAAGAGAGAUAUUAAUGGGAUCACAAUGAAGCAGAGAUCACAAAAGUAAACAAAAUCCAGAGAACAUAAAAGUGGAAUUCCGAGUCUGGGGGGAGAUCUAUGUGAAUAAUCACCAGCCAGAAAUCUGCAAGACCGAAGGAUCAAGAAGAAUGGCCAAGCAAAGCAGUCUCUGGUCAAAGUCCAAAGAACUAACAGAAAUUUGCAUUGCGCUAACACUGGGAAGAGAGGGACACUGCGAUGAGCUUCCCCAUAGAAUUUAGAAGACCUCAUUUACUCUGUAUUCUCGCCCACCUCCACCUGUGGCAACCUGAGCUAAAGAGGGCUAAUAGAAUAGGAGUAAGAACCUUGGCAAAGUUAUUUUUUCCCUCUGACACCACAUAUAUAUGGUCGCAUAUAUGUACGUCACCACAUGACAUAUAAUUAAUUAUAUUCAUAAUUAAUAGUGAGAACUAGCAUUCACAUAGCACUUGUCAUGAUUCUGACAUCUAAACAGUGGUAGUUCUUCAUGUUUCUAGACCAGAGUUGUUGUUCUAUGUUAGAGGCAAAGACCAUGACAAUUCACUUGCUUUGUCUGGCACUGAUGGAUAAGUACUUCUGACAAUACUGUUAAACAAACUUGGUGAUUCAAAAUUCAUGUGUUCAAAUAUUUAUAAAGUAGGAGGUAGAGAUAAUAAAAAUUUAUGAAAAGGUCAAUUUUUAACUAUUAAAUUUACAAAAACUACAAAUGUUAAUGCACAGUCCUUUAUACAAGGAAUAAUUGAAGGAGAAGCAGCCUAGUAAAUUCAAUAUGCGUGGCUUACAAUAGUCAAAAAAUUUAGAAUCAUCUUAAAUGCUCAAUAGUAUCAAGACUAUUAUCAUUUUAAAUAUGUUGUAGCAACAUGAUAGAAUUUAUAUAUAGUAACUUAAGAAAAGUGCAAGAUAAAAAUGAUACACUAAAAUCACAAAUGUUAAAAUAUAUAGCCAUAAAACCUAAAGAGACUGUACAUACCUGUUGGUAAAUGAGAAUGUAUAUGAUUUUUCUCUUCUUUUAAACUUCAUGUAAUGCUAUAUAUGGUUUUAAAUAGACAUGGGAUUAAUAAAUCUUAUUUAUUAAUUUGUAUUAUUUCAGUAAUAUCUGGGAAACCUGCAAGAUAAAUAUUGUUAUCUCCACUAAAAUAGGAGGAAGAGAAGAAAGAGGAGGAGGAGGAGGAGGACGAGGAGGAGGAAAUGAUGGUUAAACUGGUCACACAAUUAUUAGGUAGACGAUUCAGAUUUGAAACGUGAUUGGUCUGCCUCGGAAACUUACCACCUUUACUUUAUGUUAUGCUUUCUCCGUGCUACCUUCACACCUUAGAGCCCCAUACAAUUUUUUCCAGGGCACAACCUUUCAUUUCUGAUGAAGAAUGGUAAGUAGAAAUAAUUCAUGAUAAUUCAGCAUUGGCUGAAUGCAAAAGCCUUCAAACCUUCCCAAGUUUCCCUCACUCACUCCCGAUACAGGCCUCAAGUUCUUCCUUGUGAAAGCAUUUCUAUUUCUUGAUAGAACUAAACGGCAUCCCCCAAAUUUAGUCUUUUUCUAUCAGUGAAAUUUUAAAAAUUGGAUGGAGAAAGUGGGUUCUCUCAAAAUCUGUAUUCUCAUACUGAAAUAUAUGUUCUUAAUUUUGAAAUAAUGUUAGAUGUAUAAGUUGCAAAAAUAGUACAGAGGUUUCUGAAUAUCUAUCAGCUUCUGCUAAGCUUAACAUCUGACAUACAAUACAUAGUAAAAUUAUCAAUACCAGGAAAUUAACAUUGAUACAAUCUUAUUAAUUAAAUUAUAGAU